rnacentral:rRNA from 1 species
AGAGUUUGAUCCUGGCUCAGAAUCAACGCUGGCGGCGUGCCUAACACAUGCAAGUCGAACGAGAAAGCGGGGGCAACUCCGCGAGUACAGUGGCGAACGGGUGAGUAACACGUGACUAACCUGCCUUCGAGUGGGGGAUAACCCCGGGAAACCGGGGCUAAUACCGCAUAACAUCGCGAGGUGAAAUUCCUUGUGAUCAAAUGCGCAAGUAGCUUGAAGAGGGGGUCGCGGCUGAUUAGCUAGUUGGUGAGGUAACGGCUCACCAAGGCGAUGAUCAGUAGCCGGCCUGAGAGGGCGCACGGCCACACUGGAACUGAAACACGGUCCAGACUCCUACGGGAGGCAGCAGUGGGGAAUUUUGCGCAAUGGGGGAAACCCUAACGCAGCAACGCCGCGUGGAGGAUGAAGUCCCUUGGGACGUAAACUCCUUUCGACCGGGACGAAUAUUGACGGUACCGGUGGAAGAAGCCCCGGCUAACUUCGUGCCAGCCGCCGCGGUAAU